GCUCCUCUGAUGAAAUUGGUAGACAUACCGGUUUUAGGAACCGGCGCUGUAAAAGGCUUGGGAGUUCAAAUCUCCCGAGGAGCA
rnacentral:tRNA from 1 species